UUUUGUAGAUCUAGAAAUUGUUUAUUGUUUAUUAUACAUUUUUAUUUGAGCAAAGGUCGUUGAUGGGUCCAAUGAAUCCCGAAGACCAACACAGGGCGUAAGGUUGUCAUCUAGAUUUUGGCACCCCACAUUCAUUGACAUCAGGCUGAGAAACACACUGAACCACAGUGGAACUUUGUGGGAUACAGCAAAGUUUUUGCAACUGCAGCAGAACAUGAAAAUCAGAAAAAAACUUAAGGUGAUGAGCCUCCUCAUUUUUCCUCAUGGAGCUGUGACAACGCCCUCUCACUGUCACCUCAUCGACAACUACAUUCGAAACUAUUCCAAUGCAAUGUUUUGGUGAAAGGGCACAACAUUAACCAUGAAUGCGUUACUUACUUUUAUCAACGUUAACAAUACCUUACACAAAAUAUAGCUAACAUCAGUAAUAAACAUAACUGCAACAAGAGUUUUUCAGGUCUGUGUUACAGUAAAUUAAUCAAGAAUAUGGACUUUCACUGCAGAAGAAAAAGCUAACAACUACCGUUAUCCUAACUCUUCCGCUAACGUAAUUUUGUAUGGAAUGCCGUUUUAGUCAAAAUUAAAUAAAUUAAUAAAUACAUGAAAUAUGCAUUUCAAAUACAUCAUGAAAUAAAUAAAUGAGGCAAUAAAUACAUAAAUAUUAAAUACAUUUAAUUGUUUCAUGGUACUUUUAUUUCAUAAUGCCACUUUUCAUUUCAUGGUACUUUUAUUUCAUAAUGCCACUUUUCCUUUCAUGGUACUUUUAUUUCUUAAUCCCACUUUUCAUUUCAAGGUACUUUUAUUUCAUAAUGCCACUUUUCAUUUCCAGAGUCUUUUAUUUCAUAAUGCCGUUUUUCAUUUCCAGAGACUUAUUUCAUAAUGCCGUUUUACAUUUCACGUUAUUAUAUGCAAAUCAGGGGGCGUGGCUACAUCUAACAUUCAGAACAGACAACAGAGCCGUGUGCAAAAGAAGGCUGGCUAGACCAGUGUUUUUCAACCUUUUUUGCGUCAAGGCACACUUGAGACACAGAAAAAAUCUCACGGCACACCAACAACCGGAAAUGAUAUGAAAAUCAAUCCCAAACAUAGUUUCAGCAUGAGCAUAAUAUACUCUAAGAAAUCAGGGAAACGCGUGUUCUCUUUGUUGUGUUUUAUUAAACUUAACAUCAUCCUAAUGCCAAGAUGACACAGGCUUUAUGCCCAGGUAUCUCUUAAGCCUAGUUUAUGCUUCUGCGUUUUCAGAGCGACGCAGACGCAAGACCCCCUUGCGUGUCCCUUGCGUCGCUUUUCACACAUCCUUGUGUCCUUGCGAGUGUCGAGACAUUUUUCUAGGCUUGCGGCAGCGCACCAGGCUGCGAUUGGUCCACUAACUACGUCCUUAACGGAGUCUCACAUUUCCGCUUUCAUAGCCCGAUACCGCCAUUAUUAAAACGAAGAAUGUUUACGAGAGAACGGAUCAGAUUGAAGAACUUUUGUCGGAAGAAAUGCGUAAAUAUUGUAGACCGCUUCUACAAGCCGUCAUUGGCGGGUUGUAGAAGCGGGUUGGAUUCAAGGAGGGAGAUCGCCGCAAACGGCGGUUUGCCGGUCGAGAGGUGCACAAAGUUGUGGAGGAAAAUACGGGACAAAUGUGUCCGCGAUGAAAAGCAGCAGUGGCAAUGCACGGGGCAAUAAAGUCUAUGAUAAAUAAAUAAACAAAUAAAUAAAUAGACGUGACUCUCUAAGUCGUCUUCAACAAAAACACGUCACUCCACCUGUUGUUCUGGCGGUGACUUGCUCUGCAACACACGCAAGACUUUUAGAAGCAUGAAUUGAAACGAGUGCGUCGACGCAACGACGCAGGCGGCGCAAACGCAGAAGCAUUUUUUAAAUUGUCACCUCAGCAAAUCUGCCUACCUAAUUAUGCUGCAUACCGCCACCCACAGGUAGAGGGGAGUAUUGAGCCUUCAUACCACCAACAGCGCGACGACACACACACACACACACACAAACACACAAGUUGGCUCUUUUUUUUUCAGUGACAGAAUCAACGACUGAUAUUGGCUAAGGCUCAUUCGAAAUCCGAGUUACAUUGAACUCACCAGAAGACCACUCCCAGAGGUGUGGACUUUCACACCUUUAAGCAUUGUUAUAAAUACCUGUAGGAACCAUUGUUCUAGAGUUCGCUGGUGGAGGCAACAGAUGGGCACUAGGGAUGGUCAAAAGGACUGACCUGGCAUGCACAUUAGCACACACACCCAUGGGACUUGGGCAAGAGACAAAGGACAGGACGCUGUCUGUGGAGCCGGUCUGGUAAGACAAAAGGGAGUCGUUCCGAGAGAGGUGCGACCCAUAGGGACGUAGAGACGGUCAACAGUCCAGUGGGUGAAUGUAUGUAAAUAGUUAGCACAGAGGGAGACGUUUAAAUGAGUGGGAAAUAAUGUGAUUUGAGCCAAAUCUGUAGACCUUGUUUAUUUUCUCUUAAACCUAGUGAUAGGCUGCAAGUUGUUGAGUGUGGAUAUGAGAUGUACAGUGCACGGUACAUCUCAUACAGCAUCUUAAUGACGGAAGCAAGUUUUAGAUCAUAGGAUAACAUUAGUAAUAGCAGUACAGAAUGGAAAACUUUGUUACAGACCAUCAUCCUGUAAUGAUUUUAUCAACAAACCAUACAAACAUGUAACUACAUAUGAUAUAUUGAUAUCAUUUUCAUUAGGAAUAAAUUAAUGUUCUAGGUCAUGUCGGGAUCUCCGAUCCCCCCGAGUUGGUUGAUGAGAAGAAUCGCAGCUAUCAAUUAAAGUCAAAAAGUUAACAUUUAAUUAGAAGAGAAAAAGAUUACAUGAGCAAUUCUCCGCAGAUAUCUGGCUCUAACUAUUGCCUAAAGGCAGGAGGUCAAACACACAAGCACGUAUUUCAGCGCUCGGUGUAAUGACGUCUCCGAGCAGUAAAAACGCUAAGUUUUUAUACACAUGUGAAGGACAUUCUCCGUGCCAGUUACGAGAAGCUACAAAGCAGGUUGAGAUAAGAACCCAGGUGAAGCUGAGGGUAGCACACACACACACACACACACAAGACCCUCCUCAGUGGCCGGUGCAAAUCAUAAUUAAUUGACAUAAAGUAAAAAAUGUGGAUCCGGAACUUUCGUACUGAAUAAGAUAUGAACCAAGUCCAUGAACAGAAGUCCUUUGUUUUGAAGCGUCUAUGAGCUUGAGUUGACCGCCCUCCCUUCUCAGGACACAGCUGCAAAGCAACAUUUUGUAUCAUGCUGCUCUUUGCACAUCAGGGUCAAAUACAGGACACUUGAGAUACGGCUUUAGCACAAAACAAUGUUAUAAUAUAUUUUACCACUACAUGCAUCUCACAAUUCCCCUUUUUGAUCUCUUCAGACAUCACCCCAGCUACUGGAGGACGUCAGCUGGAUCAGCCCCCUCAUCUUGCCUCCUUUCCAGGCCGAUAACAGGAUUGUGUCUUGUUCUUGUUUUUUUUUUGCUAAACUAAUGCGGAGAAUUGAGAAAGAUAGAACAGAGAAGAGGAUAGUUAUACACUUAUUCUUGGUCUUCUUGGUUGUAGACAGUCAACACAGAUCACCAUGCUCUGGGUGUCUGUCGGUCAACUGUCCGUUGAGAGUGCGUUUGGGGACCCUGCGGUGCCUGUUGCCGCCUCUUGCUCCUGAUCUUUCAGGACGUCCUGGAGUGUGCAAGCUGGUUCCUCUGCAGUGGCAUACUGUACCAGUGGUACCAGGUAUCACCUUUCCCUCUCAGCCUCACUGCAUGUGAGGUUCUCUCCUCCACCUGGUACGGUCCUGUCCAGGGGCUCUGACCACUUUCUCUUAAUGACCCUCAGGAGGACCCAGGCUGCCGUGUGAUGGUUGUGGGCGUUCUGAUCCCCUGUUUUGUCUCGCACCUGGUCCGCAAAAUCUGAAACGAGAGCUCGUAUUUCGUUAUAAUGACUUGCAUACUCACGUGGCGGAGUUUCCGGGUUGGGCCUAAGUUUCAGGCCGGCACUGGGUCCAGGGAACUGUCUCCCGGUGGUCAGUUCGUACGGGGUGAAACCUGUACCCUGAUUUACUGAGAUUCUAAUGGCCAUUAACACGAGUGGGAGCACCUGAACCUAGGUUAAAUUUGUCUGUGCACAGAUUUUAGCCAAUUUUUUUUUCAUGUUUUGGUUCAUGCGUUCUACUUUGCCUUGAGAUUGUGGGUGAUGUACUGUACCAAACGUGUGUUUCAGGCCCAACAUCUUCUUCACUUCUUGCAGGUCCUGAUUCUUAAAAUGGGUACCAUUAUCCAACCUGAUCUUUUCUGGGAAUCCGUGUCUUGAACGCAGCUAUGGGAAUACCUGGGGGGUGUCUAAUGAGUUUCAAGUCACACACAGGAUCUAGAAGACGCACCUCUACCCCUGCUGGCGCAGAGAGGGAUGACACAGAAGAGGAGAGACCACCUGUCAACAACCUGAGCGACGCCAAAGGGAACCGUGAGCAGUGACCAAACAACCGCCAUCUCGCUGAGAGGAAGGACUUCCUCAGCCCAGAGUCUGCUUGACCACCGUGCAGGACCAGGAGGAAGCAUCAGGACUGACCACAGCAGAACCAGCACCGCAGAGAAGCAAGACAAGCACCGUUCUAGGAGACCAGAAGCAAGACUAGGUACGAUUCAGAAAGGGUCCAAGCAACCUCAGUCUCCCUUUUGAGGGACAACACAGUUCCAAGACCACCUCACACUAAUGGGGGACAACGACAGCCCAGCACAGGCAUAACCUCAGACCCAUGGGUCACAUCAGAGCCAUCGAUUUCCAGUACAGAAACUUCCAAGUUCCCGAGCCCCUCUACAAACACUGCCCCAUGGACAACAACAACAACCAUUUAGCAUAAGAGAUCCUGAAAUGAUCGAGAAAACACCCGCACACAAAAAUGGAGGUGAACCACUGCUGAGAGCUCUCACUGAAGAACCAGCAGAGAACAGUGACAUUGCCAACUGCUUCUCGGGCUUAUUGGACUCAUGAUUUAGUAAAUACAAACAAUUGUUUAUUUCUGUGAUAACAGUCUCCAGUAUGGCCAGCAUUCUAUUCCUAGGUGGAUGGGGAGGACAUAAACAACUUAACUGACUGUGUCACAGAAUACAUCAAGUUCUGUGAACACACCACCGUUCCAUCCCGGACUGUCCGCUGCUUCCCCAACAACAAGCCGUGGAUUACCAGGGACUUGAAAGAGCUUCUUAACAAGAAGAAAGCAGCUUUCAAGUCUGGGGACAGGGAGGAACUCAGGAGAGUUCAGCGCAACCUGAAGGUGAAGAUCAGGGAGUGUAAGAACUCCUACAGGAGGAAGCUAGAGGCCAAACUCCAGCAGAACAACGUGAGGGAGGUGUGGGUCGGCAUGAAAGAGAUCUCAGGCUUCAAGGGAAGACGGAGUCAACCAGGCGGCUUCCUGGAGAGGGCAAACGAGCUGAAUUGCUUCUUCAACAGGUUCAUCUCACAGCCCUCAUCUGUCUCCUCCUUACACCUCACCUCCCAAACACCUCAGCUGACUUCCCCCCUCCCCCCGGUCCCCUCUGGUGAGCUGCAUGGACACAAAGCUCCCAACUUCAAAGGGCUCCUCUACCCCCCCACACCUCCGCUGCCUUCCUCCCUCCCCCCUCUAUCUCCCCUAGU
ensembl:lncRNA